rnacentral:rRNA from 1 species
GCCGCGUGUGUGUNCCNGGUCUUCGGAUUGUAAAGCACUUUAAGUUGGGAGGAAGGGCAAUUACCUAAUACGUAGUUGUUUUGACGUUACCGACAGAAUAAGCACCGGCUAACUCUGUGCCAGCAGCCGCGGUAAUACAGAGGGUGCAAGCGUUAAUCGGAAUUACUGGGCGUAAAGCGCGCGUAGGUGGUUUGUUAAGUUGGAUGUGAAAUCCCCGGGCUUAACCUGGGAACUGCAUUCAAAACUGACAAGCUAGAGUAUGGUAGAGGGUGGUGGAAUUUCCUGUGUAGCGGUGAAAUGCGUAGAUAUAGGAAGGAACACCAGUGGCGAAGGCGACCACCUGGAACUGAUACUGACACUGAGGUGCGAAAGCGUGGGGGAGCAAACAGGAAUUAGAUACCCUGGUAGUCCACGCCGUAAACGAUGUCAACUUAGCCNNUUGGGAACCUUGAACUCUUAAUGGCGCANCUAACCNAUUAAGUUGACCNCCUGGGGGAAUC